CUGCAACUCGCCUGCAUGAAGUCGGAAUUGCUAGUAAUCGUAGGUCAGCAUACUACGGUGAAUACGUUCCCGGGCCUUGUACACACCGCCCGUCAAACCAUGAGAGUUGGCAACACCGAAGUCGGUAGUCUAACCGCAAGGAGGACGCCGCCGAAGGUGGGUUGAUGAUUAGGGUUAAGUCGUAACAAGGUAUC
rnacentral:rRNA from 1 species